CCUACGGGAGGCAGCAGUGAGGAAUAUUGGUCAAUGGACGAGAGUCUGAACCAGCCAAGUAGCGUGAAGGAUGACUGCCCUAUGGGUUGUAAACUUCUUUUAUAUGGGAAUAAAACAUGGUAUGCAUACCCUCUUGUAUGUACCAUAUGAAUAAGGAUCGGCUAACUCCGUGCCAGCAGCCGCGGUAAUACGGAGGAGCCGAGCGUUAUCCGGAUUUAUUGGGUUUAAAGGGAGCGUAGGUGGAUUGUUAAGUCAGUUGUGAAAGUUUGCGGCUCAACCGUAAAAUUGCAGUUGAAACUGGCAGGCUUGAGUACAGUAGAGGUGGGCAGAAUUCGUGGUGUAGCGGUGAAAUGCUUAGAUAUCACGAAGAACUCCGAUUGCGAAGGCAGCUCACUGGACUGCAACUGACACUGAUGCUCGAAAGUGUGGGUAUCAAACAGGAUUAGAUACCCCAGUAGUC
rnacentral:rRNA from 1 species